rnacentral:rRNA from 1 species
CCUACGGGUGGCAGCAGUGGGGAAUAUUGCACAAUGGGGGAAACCCUGAUGCAGCGACGCCGCGUGAGUGCAGAAGUAUUUCGGUACGUAAAGCUCUAUCAGCAGGGAAGAAAAAAAGUCCUUUGGACUUUGGACGGUACCUGACCAAGAAGCCCCGGCUAACUACGUGCCAGCAGCCGCGGUAAUACGUAGGGGGCAAUCGUUAUCCGGAUUUACUGGGUGUAAAGGGAGCGUAGACGGCGAUGCAAGUCUGAAGUGAAAGGCGGGGGCCCAACCCCCGGACUGCUUUGGAAACUGUAUGGCUGGAGUGCAGGAUAGGUAAGUGGAAUUCCUAGUGUAGCGGUGAAAUGCGUAGAUAUUAGGAGGAACACCAGUGGCGAAGGCGGCUUACUGGACUGUAACUGACGUUGAGGCUCGAAAGCGUGGGGAGCAAACAGGAUUAGAUACCCCUGUAGUC